UACGGAGGGUGCAAGCGUUAUCCGGAUUUACUGGGUUUAAAGGGUGUGUAGGCGGGCUUUUAAGUCAGUGGUGAAAUCUCCGGGCUCAACCUGGAAACUGCCAUUGAUACUAUUAGUCUUGAAUACUGUUGAGGUUGGCAGAAUAAGUCAUGUAGCGGUGAAAUGCAUAGAUAUGACUUAGAAUACCGAUUGCGAAGGCAGCUAACUAAACAGCAAUUGACGCUGAGGCACGAAAGCGUGGGGAUCAAACAGG
rnacentral:rRNA from 1 species